CCAGAGGCAAGUACUGUUGAUAACAUACCAUCAUUUCCUGGAUCUUCCCGUAUUACUAGUACGAGAAUGUUGCAAGCCACAUUGGUGGUGAGCGACGAAGAAUUGAUUCCCUUGAAGAUACAGAAGGUUCCAGGAAAUGAUAUUUUUUAUAAAAAUCUUAAUGACAUUUCAUUGCAGAUAUUUGGGCCCACCAUACAUAAAAGGUGGAAUGACCAAGAAAAAAAGUUAAAAGAUGAACUCACAAACCGUAUGAUAGGGUUGUUUGGAAAUGACACAUUCGACAAGACUAAGCUCC